ACCUGGUUGAUCCUGCCAGUACUAUAUGCUUGUCUCAAAGCCUAAGCCAUGCAAAUCUAAGAUCAAUCAUAUGUGGUUUCGGCCAUGUAUAAUGAUAGUCUGUGGAAGGCUCAUUAUAACAGUUAUACACCUAGCCACUGGAAAGUUUACAAGGAUACCACCGUUAACUGCAGCGAUAAUACUUGUUCCCUUCGGGGUGGUAAUAGUAUAUGUGCUGAAGCCUAGCUAUUGUAACUCAGUUUUUCUGGAUGUGGCAACAUAUUCAGGGUGAUUGGGAAUCGACCGCUAGCAGGUGCCCGCAAGGGCGCGGGAAAGUGAAUUAACAAGGUUUUCAUAAGGCCUUUCAGGUUUGCUUUUUCUAGUGGCCAGGCAGAGGUGUUUCUUACCUAUCAGCUCGUUGUUUGUUUAAAGGACAAACCAGGCUAUGACGGGUACGGGGAAUCAGUGUUCGAUUCCGGAGAGGGAGCCUGAGAAAUCGCUACCACAUCUAAGGACGGCAGCAGGCGCGCAAAUUACCCAAUCCCAAUACGGGGAGGUAGUGACAAGCUAUAGUGUCUCCACACCCUUAGGUGGGGAGGUAUUAUCAUCUGAUAAUUUUCCAUGAUUUGGGUGUAGAUAACCCUUAGAGCAGCCAUUGGAGGAAAAGUCUGGUGAAUUGUCGCCAGAAAUAGUGAUCCAGUAAUGGAGAGCUAGUCGCAAUGACCACGGGUGAUCCUCGUGCUAGCGGCGAAACGACCAAAUUGCGGGAAGCGCUUCUUUAAAGCCUAACAGUACCGUUCUUGUUUACAAGAACUAUGACAGGAGAAAAGCCUGUAGGAUGGUAACAAUCUGUUAGGUGUAGCGUAAUCCGCAGCCAAGCUUUUUGGUGAUCAAAUCCCUGUUAUUGGAGGAUAUUGAAGUCAUGCGAUGGGGUUUAUACUUUUAUUUGCCAAAACGGGACCUCUGUUGAGGUAUAGAUCUCGCAAGAGGUUGAAUAUUCCGUACUAAGGAUCUCUGAUCCGGAAAGUCUAGAGACUACACGGCAAAGCCAUAGUGGCUAGUAUAAAUGGAUAGUCCCUAGUUAACCAUCUAGGCAUCCCAUACAAAAUGGUUUCAAUAAAACAGAAAAUCGCAAGAUUUCAAAAGAAGGUGAAAACUUUCAAAAGUGUGACACUUUCUCCUCCGCAAACAAUAACAGUUCAAAUCAAUCGUAAUUCGUUUAAAGACGGCUAUGAUCCUCUAAUUGAGACAAUCGAUUAUGGUUAUAGCAGUAUGGGUGCGGUUCAUGUUAGUGAUAGCGAUCAAAUUGCUAAAAUUAACCAAGGAACUCAAGCCAGAAAUGUCUUUAAUGAGUGGCUAACUACUCACAAAGGAGAUAAAGGAAGAUCUGGUAAGCAGAUACCUUUUAUCAUAGACAGACUCAGCAAGGUAAAUGUUUGUAAGCACGAAUUUGGCGAAUGCCUGAUUGGUGUAGCAAAUAAGACCACUGCUGGUUUUAAGGUCCGUUUUAUGAAUAAAAAGGGUUCCGAUUCGUAUGUGCACCACGUAGCGGUCCUUGCGAACUCUAAACACAAAGAUUGUAUCCAUAGCUUGGAUAUGAUCAGAACUGUUUCGAGUACGAAAAAGGGCAGUGGAGCUAGAACGAUUUCUCAUAUUUGUGGUAAUGGAGGCUGUGCUAGACCAGGUCAUUUAAAGAUUGAGUCCAAAACAGUAAAUGAUGAACGUACUCACUGUCAUUUUUUACUGCGUAAGUCUCAAUCUGACCAUCAAUCAGAAAUGAUUAGGCUAGCCUGUCCUCACACUCCAAAGUGUUUUGUAAAUAUAUACAAAAUAAACACACCGUAUUACUAAUUGAUAGCGUUUGAUUCCGAAAGAAAGGUUCAGAGACUAGAUGGUUGUUGGCAGAGUUUGUAGCUUUGCUUAAGGUAUAGUCCAAACCCACUCGAUGACAAAGAGUGUGUCAAUCGCAAGGUACUAAUCAUACCCCAGGAUUGAUGUUCGGUAGAAUUGGCCAGCACCCGCGGUAAUUCCAGCUCCAAGAGCGUAUAUUAAUACUGCUGUAGUUAAAACGCCCGUAGUAUACCUAAGAGUGCGCAUGUAGUAAUUAGUUCUAUCAAGAGAUGGUUGGGGAGAGUUUAUAACCCUUCUUUGCCUACUUUUGGUAAACUUCAGUCGGGCAGGGCCUUACGGUUCUCGUCUGACAGUUGCUGCGUGUACACUUGUCCACGGUUCAUCCGUGAGGCCCCUUUGGGUUGCAACUGUAAAUAAAUCGUUGUGCUUAAAGCGGGCUAUGAUACUCUGCCAGAGCGAUUUAGCAUGGGACUGCAGAGUAGCUGUAUUUGAGUGAAACCUGGACCUCGGUUUGGGCGUAGCUUGGUACAGCGCUUGUAAUGGAGCUCAGGGUGAGGCCCCGGGUACCAUGAGGCUAGAGGUGAAAUUCUGAGACCCUCAUGUGACCAACUAAGGCGAAAGCUGUCGUGGGCCAACCACAAGCUCGUCUAUCAGGGACGAAAGUUGGGGGAUCGAAGACGAUCAGAUACCGUCGUAGUCCCAACUAUAAACGAUACCAACCGAGUAUUUGGGAAGACACUAUCCCAGCGAUCUUCUCAGAACUCAAGGGAAACCUUAAGUCUUUGGGUUCUGGGGGGAGUAUAGUCGCAAGACCGAAACUUAAAGGAAUUGACGGAAAGGCACCACCAGGAGUGGAGUCUGCGGCUUAAUUCGACUCAACACGGGGAAACUCACCAGGUCAGGACACAAGUUUGAUUGACAGGUUAAUAGCCCUUUCUUGAUUGUGUGGUGGGUAGUGCAUGGCCGUUUCCAGUUCGUGGAGUGAUCUGUCUUGUUAAUUCAGAUAACGAACGAGACCUAAGCCUUUAACUAGCCGUAGGCCCUUUCCUUCGGGGAAGGGUUAGUUUAUCGGGACUGGCUUUUGGCCUUUUCCAAAACCUACGUGACUUUUGUCAGCUUCUUAAAGGGACUUCAUUCGUUCUAGUAGAAUGAGGAAGAUUUAGGCCAUAACAGGUCUGUGAUGCUCUUAGAUGUCCUGGGCUGCACGCGUACUACAAUAACGGUACCAGCGAGCGCUAUGGUUUUAUAACCCCUUAUCCUAAUAGGAUUGGGAAAACUUUUCAAACACCGUUAUGACAGGGAUCGAGGAUUGGAACAUCCUCGUGAACGAGGAAUUCCUAGUAAGCGUGGUUCAUCAUACCACAUUGAUUACGUCCCUGCCUUUUGUACACACCGCCCGUCGCUCCUACCGAUGGGACGAAGAGAUGAACCUGGCGGACCGAGCCGCAAGGCAAGGGAAACCAGUUAAAUCUCUUCGUCUGUAGGAAGGAAAAGUCGUAACAAGGUCUCCGUAGGUGAACCAGCGGAAG
rnacentral:rRNA from 1 species